AUUGAACGCUAGCGGCAGGCCUAACACAUGCAAGUCGAACGAGUGGCGGACGGGUGAGUAAUGUCUGGGAAACUGCCUGAUGGAGGGGGAUAACUACUGGAAACGGUAGCUAAUACCGCAUACCAUCGGAUGUGCCCAGAUGGGUUUAGCUAGUAGGUGGGGUAACGGCUCACCUAGGCGACGCGCCCUCGCUGGUUUGAGAGGAUGACCAGCCACACUGGAACUGAUACACGUUCCAGACUCCUAAGGUAGGCAGCAGUGGGGAAUAUUGCAUAAAGGGCGCACGCCUGAUGCAGCCAUGCCGUGUGUAUGAAGAAGGCCUUCGGGUUGUAAAGGACUUUCAGCGGUGAGGCGUUACGCGCAGAAGAAGCACCGGCUAACUCCGUGCGAGCAGCCGCGGUAAUUC
rnacentral:rRNA from 1 species